rnacentral:rRNA from 1 species
GGGAAUAUUGCACAAUGGGGGAAACCCUGAUGCAGCGACGCCGCGUGAAGGACGAAGUAUUUCGGUACGUAAACUUCUAUCAGCAGGGAAGAAAAUGACGGUACCUGACCAAGAAGCCCCGGCUAACUACGUGCCAGCAGCCGCGGUAAUACGUAGGGGGCAAGCGUUAUCCGGAUUUACUGGGUGUAAAGGGAGCGUAGACGGCCAUGCAAGUCUGAUGUGAAAACCCGGGGCUCAACCCCGGGACUGCAUUGGAAACUGUGCGGCUGGAGUGUCGGAGAGGCAAGUGGAAUUCCUAGUGUAGCGGUGAAAUGCGUAGAUAUUAGGAGGAACACCAGUGGCGAAGGCGGCUUGCUGGACGACGACUGACGUUGAGGCUCGAAAGCGUGGGGAGCAAACAGG